AGCAGCAGAAAGCACAGCCCAGGGUGCCCGGAGCCUGGGCGGCCCCAGCCCAGCCAGCACCCCCGCGGGGCAGGGAAGCGAGACCGGCUUUCUCCUGGUGCUUUACCUCUGUACACCGGGGAGCUGGGGCUCCGUCUCUCAGGCACAACAAACAGGACUCAAUUUUAUUUGGAACUUAUCAUCACUAUUCCUUUACCAGCUAAAUGGGAUGCUGUUGAGUGACAAGGUGGACUCCACAACUACUACUGGGAGGUAUUUCCUGUUUAUCAGACAAUAUACUGAGAUUAUUUUUCACUUUUUGUGCAAGACAAAUUACUGCUUUACACACAGUGGGCUAGCAUGGAUUAUCAUUUGGAACACAGUGUUUGCUGUAU